rnacentral:rRNA from 1 species
GACAGAGGGGGCGAGCGUUUUCCGGAGUCACUGGGCGUAAAGCGCGCGCAGGCGGCAACCUUAGUGUCGUGUGAAAGCCCCCGGCUCAACCGGGGGAGGCCAUGGCAAACUGGGUCGCUCGAGCUGCGGAGAGGCUCCUCGAAUUGCCGGUGUAGCGGUGAAAUGCGUAGAGAUCGGCAGGAAGACCAAGGGGGAAGCCAGGGGGCUGGCCGCAGGCUGACGCUGAGGCGCGACAGCGUGGGGAGCAAACCGG